UACAGAGGGUGCAAGCGUUAAUCGGAAUUACUGGGCGUAAAGCGCGCGUAGGUGGUUUGUUAAGUUGGAUGUGAAAGCCCCGGGCUCAACCUGGGAACUGCAUCCAAAACUGGCAAGCUAGAGUACGGUAGAGGGUGGUGGAAUUUCCUGUGUAGCGGUGAAAUGCGUAGAUAUAGGAAGGAACACCAGUGGCGAAGGCGACCGCCUGGACUGAUACUGACACUGAGGUGCGAAAGCGUGGGGAGCAAACAGG
rnacentral:rRNA from 1 species